UACGGAGGGUGCAAGCGUUAUCCGGAUUCACUGGGUUUAAAGGGUGCGUAGGAGGGCAGGUAAGUCAGUGGUGAAAUCCCCGAGCUUAACUUGGGAACUGCCGUUGAUACUAUCUGUCUUGAAUAUCGUGGGGGUGAGCGGAAUAUGUCAUGUAGCGGUGAAAUGCUUAGAUAUGACAUAGAACACCAAUUGCGAAGGCAGCUCGCUACACGAAUAUUGACUCUGAGGCACGAAAGCGUGGGGAUCAAACAGG
rnacentral:rRNA from 1 species